GGAUAGUUGGGCAUUGGUAAGCCAACCUACUUGCUACGUAGUUAGCCUAGAGCUUUCAGCGUUCGAAUCGCUGACUAUCCG
rnacentral:tRNA from 3 species